rnacentral:rRNA from 1 species
CCUACGGGAGGCUGCAGUGGGGAAUAUUGGACAAUGGGCGAAAGCCUGAUCCAGCCAUGCCGCGUGUGUGAAGAAGGCCUUCGGGUUGUAAAGCACUUUCAGUGGGGAAGAAAGCCUUGGGGCUAAUACCCUCGAGGAAGGACAUCACCCACAGAAGAAGCACCGGCUAACUCCGUGCCAGCAGCCGCGGUAAUACGGAGGGUGCGAGCGUUAAUCGGAAUUACUGGGCGUAAAGCGCGCGUAGGCGGUCUGAUAAGCCGGUUGUGAAAGCCCCGGGCUCAACCUGGGAACGGCAUCCGGAACUGUCAGGCUAGAGUGCAGGAGAGGAAGGUAGAAUUCCCGGUGUAGCGGGGAAAUGCGUAGAGAUCGGGAGGAAUACCAGUGGCGAAGGCGGCCUUCUGGACUGACACUGACGCUGAGGUGCGAAAGCGUGGGUAGCAAACAGGAUUAGAUACCCUGGUAGUC